CCCUUUUCAAUUCUAGCAUAUAUGCAUAUUGUUCAGGAUAAAUAUAAUCGUAAGGGAAAUAAACAAGUAGCCCGUCGACAGUCAACCUGAAAUAAAAUUUUAUUUACACCGUAUCGGCAAAACUAAUAUUAAUUUAUAACCGAAAGUUUUGUUUGCCUCAACUUGUAUGACAUAUGACAAGAUUGACAAGUUUAAAUUAAAUUCAAACUUCAACUUUUUAAGUUUCGUUGCGCACAGACGCUGGCUUACAAUUAUUUUGUCAAUAAAACAGCCAAUACAAA